rnacentral:misc_RNA from 1 species
AACAAGGCGUACCUGCGGACCUGCGGAGGGAUCAUUAUCGAGUUGCAAAACUCCAACCCUUUGUGAACAUACCUCAGUCGUUGCUUCGGCGGUGGACGGCCUGUUUUUCGGAACGGCCGGAAGCCGCCGGAGGUUCCAAACUCGUAUUUUUUAGUGUAUCUCUGAGCCUGAAAACAAAUAAUCAAAACUUUUAGCAAUGGAUCU